GACCUGGUGGUGUAGCUGGGUAACACACUUGCUUUAAUUAGCCUAGGAAGUAAUUGUUAUGCAAGGACUCCCUGUUCGAUUCGGGGUCAGGUCA